CACCAAGUAUUGAAGGUGACGCCUGCCCAGUGACAUCCUGUUUAACGGCCGCGGUAUCCUAACCGUGCGAAGGUAGCGCAAUCAAUUGUCUCAUAAAUCGGGACCUGUAUGAAUGGCUAAACGAGGCCUUAACUGUCUCUUACAGACAAUCAGUGAAAUUGAUCCCCCUGUGCAAAAGCAGGGAUAGACCCAUAAGACGAGAAGACCCUGUGGAACUUGAAAAUCACCGGUCACCACAUACAAACCUUCCUCCUAAAGGACAUUCCCCCAACACAGCAUUGACCGCCAUUUUUCGGUUGGGGCGACCUUGGAGAAAAACAAAUCCUCCAAAACAAAGACCACACCUCUUAACCAAGAGCAACAUCUCAACGUGCCAAUAGCAACCAGAUCCAAUAACAAUUGAACAAUGAACCAAGCUACCCCAGGGAUAACAGCGCAAUCUCCUCCAAGAGCCCCUAUCGACGAGGAGGUUUACGACCUCGAUGUUGGAUCAGGACAUCCUAAUGGUGCAGCCGCUAUUAAGGGUUCGUUUGUUCAACGAUUAAUAGUCCU
rnacentral:rRNA from 1 species